rnacentral:lncRNA from 1 species
GCUUUUUUCGGAGGCUCGGCUCCCCCAUUCGCUGCCGCCCGCCUUUUGACCGUGGAAAUGCCUAUAUAUGGGAUGUGACGGGCGAGGAGCAAGAAUUUGAGACUGUGUCGGCUUUGAACUGUGCAAGCUCUGUUUCAUUCACGCUUGGAUCACAGUUGGGCAUCUUCUCCCACUGUGUACACACAGGCAAAUAAUCUUCAGGACGUGGGGGAAUAACAAGCAAAAAAACAAACACCUUACCACUCUGCUCCAAAUGCACGCUGACUUCUUCACCAGUCCCUUAAAAAAGAACUACCACAACAGCUUGGGACUUCCUCCCUCCCCUGCAUCCUCUCUGAGCAGUUAAGUGAAAGUUCAUUGAGUGGAGUGUGGAAUAAGUGUCACAGCCUUUGCUAGAGCCACAGUCCAGGGCCUUAAGAAAUACACAUUAAGUGCCACGGCUGCAAUGAUUCCCACCUAGUGGACAUCUCCUUCAAACUACAUCAGGCUGGUAUUCCCGUACAGCAAGCCAUAAUGAGGCAAUGUUAUUAGCCUCAAUGCAGAACUGAGGAGCUGAAGCACACAAAGGUGAAACCACUUGCCCACUGUAGGCACACUCACGAGAGAAUGGACUUAUACUCUGGUCUCCUAAAUAUGAAAAUAAUGAUCCAACUGCUGAAACACCUCUUCCUACAGAUACUUACUAUUAAUUCCAUACCUUGCUUUCCUGACUGCCUUGUUUAGAUAAAGACACCAGUCAGACACAGAAAAAAAAAAAUCAUGUAAUAUUGAAAAAUAUCCAUUCUCCUUUAUCUCAUACUUGUUUUUGAUGCAAUAAAUAAG